GACGUAGGGCGCGAGCGUUGUCCGGAUUUAUUGGGCGUAAAGAGCUCGUAGGCGGCUUGUCGCGUCGGCUGUGAAAACCCGCGGCUCAACUGUGGGCGGGCAGCUGAUACGGGCAGGCUGGAGUUCGGUAGGGGAGACUGGAAUUCCUGGUGUAGCGGUGAAAUGCGCAGAUAUCAGGAAGAACACCCGUGGCGAAGGCGGCUCUCUGGGACGGGACUGACGCUGAGACGCGAAAGCGUGGGGAGCGAACAGG
rnacentral:rRNA from 1 species